rnacentral:rRNA from 1 species
GAUGAACGCUGGCGGCGUGCCUAAUACAUGCAAGUCGAGCGAACGGACGAUAAGCUUGCUUCUCUGAUGUUAGCGGCGGACGGGUGAGUAACACGUUGAUAACCUACCUAUAAUACUGGGAUAACUUCGGGAAACCGGAGCUAAUACCGGAUAAUAUUUUUAACCGCAUUUUUCAACAUUUAAAUACGUUCUUUCUUUCACUUAUAGAUGGAUCCGCGCUGCAUUAGCUAGUUGGUAAGGUAACGGCUUACCAAGGCAACGAUGAAUAGCCGACAUGAGAGGGUGAUCGGCCAAACUGGAACUGAGAAACGGUCAAGACUCCUACGGGAGGAAGCAGUAGGGAAUAGUCCGCAAUGGGCGAAAGCAUGACGGAGCAACGCCGCGUGAGUGAUGAAGGUCUUCGGAUCGUAAAACUCUGUUAUUAGGGAAGAACAUAUGUGUAAGUAACUGUGCACAUAUUGACGGUACCUAAUCAGAAAGCCACGGCUAACUACGUG